CUCGGCCACUCGGUAUCUCAGUGUUGCUCGUGUUCCUUGUGAGUGAGGAGUGUUGUGAACCCCUCCACCUCUUGUUUUGUGUUACUUUACGUACAGGAGUUUAGCUUUUCUUCGAGAGCACAUUUUUUCACAAAAGAGAUACUUGUGUGAAUACUGGACGACCUCUGACCACUUUAACGAGGGACCAGCCACGGUUAAGAAUGCAUGAAUGGAGUGAUGUUGCAUAAGUAUGAACGGCACUUCGGGCGGCGGUGAUGGGUACGGUGAUGGCAGCGCCCGUGCCUAUGGUGGUGGCGGGGCGUACGGUGAUGGCAGUGCCCAUGCCUACAGCAGUGGCGGGGCCUCGGGAGUGGGAGGCCGGCGGUGGUGUCACGGCCGUAGUGUGUCUCAUGGGGGCGUCAUGAUUACCAGGGAGCCGCUCACUCUUGAUCAAGCCUCAGGUGUGGGCGGCACCCUGCCUCAAGGAGUGGGCGGCUCUGGAAACAGUGUCAACGGCGCUGGAGGAGGGAUGGCCAGGGGUCAUCAGAGGACCUUCUCCCACGGGCAGCUGGUGGAGGGCGGGCGGGGACACCGGCGGGCGGGCUCUAAGACAGACUUUAUCCUGCCGGCGGGCCACGAACAGCGGGAGAGGGAGAGAGAACAGCAGCAGAAGAAGACGCUGACGAGGACCACUUCCUUCCCUAAGGGCCACUCCCGCCAGGCCUCACGCACUGAGUCCAUCUACACCAUCAGGCAGAACAAGAGAACACUCCUUCAGAAGCUCAUGUUCUGGAAGAAGGUGCCGGAUGAGUCACGGACCCGGGUGGUAGUGGCUAACCACGUGGUGCCGCCCCAUGUGUCCCGCGGCCAACACCCCAACGGAGGCUACCCAGACAACAGCAUCUGCACCACCAAGUAUACCAUCCUCUCCUUCCUGCCCAAGAACCUGUUCGAGCAGUUCCACAGGUUCGCCAACUUGUACUUCCUGUUCAUCGUACUGCUGAACUUCGUACCGGCGGUGAACGCCUUCGGGAAAGAGGUGGCCAUGUUGCCCCUCCUCUUCGUGCUGGGCAUCACCGCCAUCAAAGACGCUUUCGAGGACCGCCGCCGGUACCUGUCUGACUCCCGGGUCAAUAACGCCACCUGCAGGGUCUACAGCAGAGACCAGGGAAGAUACGUUAAAACCGAGUGGAAACAUGUGAGGGUUGGGGACAUUAUCCACCUCUCCUGCAACGAGAUCAUCCCAGCCGACUUAGUGGUCCUCAACUCCUCAGAUGAAUAUGGCAUUUGUUUCAUCGAGUCUUCCAACUUGGAUGGUGAAAGUAACCUCAAGCAGAGACAAAGUAUUAAAGGACUUGGAAUGGAUGAUAAAUUUGAGGUUUCCAAGUUUGAUUUCCUGAUGGAGAUCGGUGCGCCCUCCACUAAGAUCUACCAUUUCACCGGCACAAUUCCACUGCAGUCAGGAGAACGUGUACCCCUCACCAAAGACAAUCUCUUGCUCAGAGACUGUGCUCUCAGGAAUACAGAUUACAUUGAGGGCAUUGUUGUGUACGCCGGUCGUGAAACUAAGGCCAUGCUGAAUAAUGGAGGCACCAGGUAUAAGAGGUCCAAGCUGGAGAGGAGGAUGAACAUAGAGGUGAUCUGGUGUGUUGUCAUCCUGUUUGUCAUGUGCCUAAUCUCCGCGACUGGGUCUGGCCUCUGGCAGAAUUACUAUGAGGGUAAUGCCACUUUAGGUCUGGUACCAUUCCUCCCACUCAACAGUUUGGAUUCAUCACUCGCAAAAAUCAAGCUCUCUAACAACUCGGUCUGGGUUGGCUUCAUUAGUUUUUGGACUUUUGUUAUUAUUUAUCAGGUCAUCAUUCCUAUAUCCCUGUACGUGACCAUAGAGGUGAUCAAGCUCAUGCAGAUCUACCACAUCCAUUGUGACAAGGACUUUAAGGACAAGAAGAGUGGUAAGACUAUAGAGUGUCGAGCACUUAACAUCCCCGAGGAGCUGGGUCAGGUAGAAUAUGUGUUCACGGACAAGACAGGGACUCUCACAGAGAACAAUAUGGUCUUCCAGAGAUGCUCUAUCAAUGGUACCGACUAUGCCCACACACCUGUUAUUAACAAGAAUCAGAAUUCAGGUCAGCGAGACACCUUCACGUUGAACAAUCAACUGCAAGAGGAGCUCGCUUCUAUUGAGCUUCCACUCAUAUAUGCUCAGCCUGGUAGUAGGCAAAAUCCUGCUGCUCUCAGCCCUCCAAAGGACUCGUCCUCAGAGAGAAUCAUGGAUUUCUUCUUCACUCUUGCUGCGUGUAACACUGUUGUUGUUGCCAAGUAUCCCCAUCGUGAUGCGAUGAAUGCCAGCGGUAUGAUUGUGCCAAAUGAUAAUGCAAACAACUCAGGUGUUAGUGAGGUAGACAAUGCCAGCCAUAAUAACUCUACAACUAGUAUUAGUUCCAGUUUCUGGGGACUCAAUCGAGUGAAACGAGGAUUCCUCCCAUUUUCUCGUCCUCUUUCUCCAAUAGCCUCCUCCCCUCGUAGCACCCCUCCACGCACCCCGGAGUCAUCGCCCCGUUAUACGACUCCUCCCAGUCUCUCUCAGAAUCACAAUCCGUCAUCUGUAAGCAUAACUCUCAACCCCAUCAACCAAUCAAACAACCUCGAGAAUAUCCACGAGAUUCCGUCUGAUAUUCAGGUGGCUUCCCCGAACACCUCCCCAGUGAGACCUUCCCUCCUAAACAUUCAGUCUGCACAAAUUUAUAACUCUAGCAUAAUGAGGGACUCACGCUCCCUCACACCAUCACCCAUGGAUAUUCAACCCAUAUAUGAAGCUGAGAGUCCAGAUGAACUAGCUUUAGUGGAUGCAGCAUACAAAUAUGGAUUCCGUUUGCUCAGGAGAAACUUGCACAACAUUCUGAUUUCACUGCCAGGUUAUGGGUUGUGUGAGUAUGAAGUCCUCCAUGUAUUACCGUUUGAUUCCAAUCGCAAGAGGAUGUCUAUUAUCGUCCGCCAUCCUGAUACUCAAGAAAAAAUCCUCUACUGCAAAGGUGCUGACUCUGCAAUAUUAGACAAUUUAAAUAGAUCAGUAGAUGACAAGACAAAACUUAGAAUAUUUCGUACUCAACAACACCUAAACAACUACUCCAAGAAGGGUCUCCGGGUGCUGUGUAUGGCCAAGCGGGUCCUCACAGACUCAGAGUAUGAAGACUGGGCGAUGAAGCACAAAGAUGCAGAAAAUGCUCUUUCAAACAGAGAGCACAAACUACAAGAUUCUUACACCAGAAUUGAGAAAAACUUGAAACUAAUAGGUGCUACUGGAAUAGAGGACAGAUUACAGGAUGGUGUUCCUGAGACCAUCCAAGCUCUGAGAAAUGCAGGUAUUGUGGUGUGGGUCCUCACAGGAGAUAAGCAAGAAACUGCCGUCAACAUUGCCUAUUCCUGUGCACUUUUUGUGCCAAGUAUGGAGAUCCUAAAGUUAAAUGCCCGCACAAAAGACCAGGCAGAGCAAACGAUACAAUUCUACCUGCAACAAAUAAAACAACAGGAGGAGAUCUUGCAACGUAAUGAGAUGCAAGGAACAGUACCAGACCCUGUGGCAGCAAAUAGUGGAAUGAUACAGUUUACUACUUUUCAAGAGAACAAUCACAGACAGAGUGAACCAGUGAAACAGAGAGGACUUGUGGUGGACGGCAGAACACUUGUAUAUAUUCUUGACCGGCGAGCAAACCUGAAGAAAGCCUUCCUUACACUGGCUGGAAAGUGCAGUGCAGUAUUAUGUUGUAGAGCCACGCCCCUUCAGAAAGCCCUCAUUGUUCGCAGUGCCAAAGAUAGCCUCAAAGUUCUCACCCUAGCUGUUGGUGACGGUGCAAAUGAUGUCUCGAUGAUCCAGACAGCAGAUGUGGGUGUUGGCAUCUCAGGGGUAGAAGGUAGACAAGCAGUGAUGGCUUCAGAUUAUGCCAUUGCACGCUUUCGCCACCUAGAAAAAUUGCUGCUAGUCCAUGGCCAUUGGUGCUAUGAUCGACUGUCCCGUAUUAUUUUAUAUUUUUUCUACAAGAAUGCUUCUUUUGUGUUGAUCUUGCUGUGCUACCAGUUAUAUAAUGGCUUCAGCGGCAGCAGCAUGAUAGACCAGAUGUACCUGAUGGUGUUUAACCUCUUCUUCACCUCCAUACCUCCUAUCUUCGUGGGCAUCUAUGAUCAGGAUGCACCUGCAGAAGUGCUCCUUGCCCAGCCACAGUUAUAUGCCCAGGGCCGGGAGAGCCGACUCUACAAGCCUCACAGCUUCUGGGUCAACAUCCUUGAUGCCGUGUAUCAGGCCAUUGUUCUUUUCUUCUUUGCCGCUGUCCUCCAUGAGGAUUCCAGCGCUGGGAUGUACCAGUUUGGCAUGACAGUUACGCAUUCUUGUCUUGUUGCACAAUCAAUGCAUAUUGCUAUUGAAACCAAAUCAUGGACUGUGAUUCAUGUGCUUGGGUUGGUAUUGUCCUUCUUACUGUUCUACGGGUUUGGUGCGCUGUACACCAUGACUUGUGCGGCCUGUCUUGGGGCGCCCAGUCAGUACGGGGAGCUGCCGCAUGCGUUGUCAUCCCCUAUACACUGGCUCACUGUUCUGCUUACUGCCACACUAGCAGUCUUGCCCAGGUUUGUUGUGCGGGCAGUUCUGUGCAGUCUAAAUCCUGAUGAAGUAACACAAGCCUUGAUAGAUAAUAAAGGAACUCAGCAUAAAGACUUCAUGGUGUCCUGGUCGAGAUCAACGUCAUCCUCCUCUGUGUACAGGCGCCGAGAUCCUGACUCCUAAUACAUUUCUUCGGUCAGUGGGAAGGCAAUGUUAAUACACAAGUUUGUUGAUCCGGAGAUCACGGAGAAUGAAAGUUCACAGUUUGUGGUGAUAAUUUCAAUUUUCCUGCUCGAGGGAUUAAUAAAGGUUGGAUUUUACACGUAUGGUAGAAGUGUUAGAUCUUCUGUACUAAUUGUCUUGCAUUGAAUUGUGUACGUUCAUAAAAAAGAAAAACAACCACAUACUAGUAGCACUGGGUUAACAUUGUUUUCCACGACCCCACUGAAUUCUCUCCUGGCCAUGAAGGACUUGAACCAGACGGAACUGUGCAGAGGAAACUGGCGAUGAAGCUUCUGAACCUUUUAGCUCUCUGGUCACCACCACAACUGUCGUCACCACCACUGAUGAAGCAGAAGUUUAAUUAGUGAACCGAGUGGUCAGAACCACAGCUGAAGCAGAUGUUGAAUUAGUCAACUAAAUGCUGCCAUCUACAAAUGCAAUAAGAGUUUAAGUUUCUUCCAUUAAGUUGGUCUCCAUUACAUUUAAAGUAGAAUGUUAAUUUGCCAAUAUUUUGUCAUCUCUUCAAAUGAAUUACAUACUGUAUUUUAAUUUGCUAACUAAAUUAUCACUGUUACUGAUAAAACUGAAGUGAAUGAACUGUGACAAUUAUGAAUGAAAAAGAAUUUAUUCACCUACAUUUUGGAGUUAGUGUAAACAGACUGUUUAAUAUGUAUGAGGUGCAAGACAUUUUUGUUCACAUACAUACUUGACAUGGUGAUAUUAAAGUAUUAAUCAUUAAACAACAGUGCUACCAAGAAUUUAAAUAUUGUACAGUAAUGAGAAUUUAACAAGUGAAAAUAGGGUGAAUAAUAGUCCAGUAUUGGUGGUGAAUGAAAGAGCUUCAACACCUCAUGUAUUAUGUUGUCACUCCUGUAUAAUGUGAAGGCAUUAUUGGUGAAGAACAGCAUAUGACAUUCUGCUGGAGUACUUUAAAACUUGGAAGGUAAAAACUAUGUGAUAACCGACAAUGAGACUCCGUAUAAUCACAGCCGUAUCGUAAUAUUGUGAUAGCCUCUUGGGAUGUCGAUGGAGAAGUAUCUCAGGAAUUUUGGGUAAAUUUGCAAUAUACAAAAGAUAUGCCUGAUAGUUUAGCAGCAUCAAAGUAUUUGAAUGCUACAGUAUAUUGCCCAUAGUCUAUUCUUUAAAACUUGAGAGAUCUUUGGAUUAUUUUUGUGCUGUGGAUGUAUGUGGGAUAUUUCCUGUUCUUAUACCACAGCUCUCUGAUGGUAUUACACUUAUAGUUGACAACUAUGAAAUUAAAUAUUGUAAAUAUAAUUCUCAGAUAGAGGAAUUUUCACUUAAGGCUUUCUACUUCCUCUUAAUUUUGUGAAAACCAUUCUUGAUGUUUUGAUGUGAUUGUAAUCAGCAGAUAUUAUUUUUUGGCUGAAAUACUGUAUAUAUCAUAUCAGAUAAAGUAUACUGUAUAGAGCGGCACAAUUAUGACCAUCGACAGUUUUUCAUGUUCAUUGAUCAUUAAACUUUUAUGGCAUUACAUUCAUUUUAUUACAGUACAGUAUAAUAAAGAAAAAUCGAAAUUCAAAUUUCAGAUUGUAUUUUCUAUACUGUAUUUUAAAACACUGAACAUGUAAUGUAAUUAAAAUAAAUUUGGUUGCAUUUGCUUUUUAAAGUAGAACUUACACAUUCCAUUAGUUUAGCUAAAUGUUUAUGGUACUUAACAUCCUAAAGCCAAAGAAAAGCCAUGUUAUGAGGUAGGUUGUGUCUACUUCUUCAGGAUAUUUUAAAUGUGUGCCUUUGUGGUUUUGUCAUGUGCUUCCAUACUUGUGCAAGUUAGGAGAUUUUGCCAGCAGUUACUUGUAAACAUCUUGAGAGUUGGCUCAUCACCACACCCGACACUUUCAUUCUUGCAGUCUAUGAAUGAUAACUUUUAUGGCUGUGUUUUAGAGUUAAAUGUUAAGAAAAACUGGAGCAAGUUUUUUAUCUUUACAUAAAGCACAACUUCAGAGUUAUGUAUGGAAGAAAUUCAUUGCUGCUCCAAAUCAUUUUCAUCAUUAUAUAUUAAAACAUUUUUAUACCACAUAAUUUGUUGUCAUAGAUAUGAACCAUAAAACUGAAGGAAGACUUUCUCUUAAAGUAUGUAUACUGUAUAUAUAUUUUUUUUUACAAAAUUACCAUUUAUUGUAUACAUAUAUCAUGUUUAUUCUGCCAUUUUUCUUCAUCAGAAAUAAACAAUUUCCUUCAACAUAUUCAGUAUAGGGAGAUGAAUUAUAAUAUGACUUAUUUUAUACAAUUUUGCCCACCUCCAUGUUCAUAUUUUGUACUGCUUUAAAAAAUAAUCUUCUACUGUUGAUUGGCUCUUGAAAUAACACAGGUUCCUUACAGAAUAUCCAUCAGCUACCACAGUUGCUUUCUAAAGUCUUAACCUACUUGUUCUCAUUCAAAAUUAAUAGAUAAUAAAUGAAUUUAUUAUUAUUUUAUUGUGAUCCUUUUCACAAUGUUCCAUUUCAUUUAAUUGAGAAAAGAUGCAGAAUAUAUUCCAUCCUCAGUUUACCUCUCAUGUCUCCCGGGAUCAGUGCAGACUAAUGUACAGGUUACAGAUCUCUCUUUCACAAGUUUGUCUAGCAGUCAUCUUGGCAUCUUCCUGCCUAAAAGACACAACAGGAACAGUAUUGUCUUUUAAAUCUAUUUUUUUAUUUGUUUAUUAAAUUUAGUAAUCCAAUUGCUCACAGGGGAAAACAUUUAUUGAGAAAUGGGGAGCUGUAGCUUAAUGUAGAAUUACCUUUAGAUAUGUAAAAUUUAAAGACCUUGUGUAUUGCAUGAGUAGAGGUCAAUAAUGCUUCCAGCUUUAGUUGACCUCUUACUCAGCAGGGCCAUAUCUUAUCUUCAUAAAGAUGGAUAAAUGUUUUCUAGCUACUAUUCUCUUAAAAAGGACAGACAUUCACACUUACACUGGCUGUAUUAGGAAAACACAAUAGAAGGCAGAUGCCCUCCCUCUUUCUCCAAGUAACUCAAGUUCCUUAAUGCAAAAAAUGGCUGUUGCUACAAAUAUCCCAUAUGACAGUGAAAGGGUAAAUAAUGUGGUUUCCCCAAUUUUGGGUCAGAACUAGUGAAGAUUUCAACAAUAUUUAUUUGUUUAGCUGGUCCCUAAAUUAGUUGUGAAUAAUAAUAAUUUUUAAAUGCCAAUUUUUAGUAUCCCACUCAUUUUCUUUUAUUAGGAGUUAGUCAUAAAUUACAAGUGAAGUAAUCCUCAUAUGCUUGACACUAUGAUAAAGGUGCUGCCUCUGCCCGACUAUUAAGAGAAAUACUGGAACAGUACAUUCAAAAUUUCUCAAACUCGCCAUGUUCAAAUUCAUGUAGAAGUCAACUCAACUGGCUUCAUGAUCAUUAUCCUGAAGUUUAUUUUGUCAUUCGGAAUUUUGGUGACAACUGUACUGUAACAGUUACCAGUAUAUUAUAAAAAUGGGAAAACGUAUAGCUUAUCAAUUAGAUUUUAUGCUCACUGAAAAAUAACUACAACUAUAAUAGCUGGUUAAAGACUUUCAGGGCAUAUGUUAAUAAUUUUUUUAAUUAACUUUAAGAAUUUAUCAGUUUCUUUUGAAUUGUGUUUAAAACUUCCAAAUAAUCUGGGAACUGUUUUUAUAAUAAUUAUUUACUAAAUUGGGAUAAAAGAAUCUUCCUUCUUAUUGUUUCAUACUGAAAAUAUUAUUUGAAAUUAUAGGCUGGUUAUUAUGGUCAUCACUCAUUAAUAAAUUAAAAAUCAAGAUGCUCAAACUCUGGGACCAAACGAUGGGGAGUAUGUGAUGAUUAGGGGUUUCAUUUACACAUGAAAAUCUGCUUGUAUUACAUUGUCAAGAGGAUUUAUAUAAAACUAGUUUUUCAAUGGUGCAGUGAGCACUGACAUUUAGAAAGUAAAACCUGCAUUAACCUCUUACAAUUUAUGCCUAAAGACAAUAUAGCUCACCAAUAGGUACAGUUGAACAUAAUACUUAUCAUUGUUUGCACUACCAAUAGUAUAUGUCCCAUAAACUCUUUUCUUGGGGCAGCUGAGCUAAAAUUACAGUAAAUCCAGUAAGUCAGAAGGAACCUAGACUGGCACUUGUUCAUACAAAGCCAGUUGUCAUUGCUUGUGCAGUCAAAUUAUUAUUCUUGUGACUGAUGACAUUGAUUAUUAUUUACCUUGGUAUUUGAGUAGAACAUUUGCUAUUAUGAAACUUAUUUCUUGGUAUUUUAAGAUUAGAAAGUAUGAAUUUAUUAAAAAAACACUAUUAGUACUGUAUAGUGUAUUUUAUAUUACAGUACAGUAUACUUUAUGUAAAAUACAAUACAGUACAAUAUUAUAUAUAAAUGUUUUAAUGCUCUCUAACUUCCAUAACUGGUGAACAUUUUCCCCUUUCACUAACUCUUUAUUCAGAUCAGUAUGGUGGGCAUUAUGUAUAAAGUAAUUUUUUUUGUUUUAAAUGUUUUUUUAUAGUUUUGGGCCAUAGUGUGUCUCCCUUAAUAAACAAAAAAUGUAACCCCAGUAAAUUAAUUUAUCUGUUUACUUGCCAUAUAUGGGCAUUAAUGCCUUUAAUGAUGCUUGUGCCAAAAAUGCAAUAUGAAUGUCCUUGAGUUGAAUGAUAUAAUUUUAAUUAAGGAAUUUUUGGCUUUUUGCAUUAUUGAAUAGUUAUACAACUAAUAAUGCAACUGAGCAUCUGUGUUGUAACUUGGUGAAAAUAAACUGCUACAUGCCAUUACUAGGUAGUUACUCAGCUGCAUGAAUGUAAUAGAAGCCUGUAUAAAUUUCUGAAAACUUAAAAUGUUAUGAGUCAAUCACUGAACUAUAGUUACUUGAACAGAUACAAUGUGUCUUUAUUAAGAGGAAGAAGAUGAACAGAUUCCUUCCAUCAAAGGUUGUGUGUAAUUAUGGUAUUCAUUGUCUGUUCCUCAUCUUCACAGGGUUUUCACUGAAUGUUUAGUCAGACGGCCCUAAGAGUACUCGACAAAGCUAGGGGUCAAGGGCUCUAUUGGGAUAAACUAUGGUGACUGAGUUAUGAGGUGAAUAAAAAGAGGUUAGAGAUUAAGCACAGUUGGGAUGAAAUUUUUAAUCAGUUACAAUAAGAUAUUUUAAAAAUUAUUUGAACUGGUCUAGUCAUUACUUGAAUUGCUCAAUUUUGCUAGUAGCCAGUUGAUAAAUAAAGCCGUGUUGAGCAUAUACAAUUGUACUUCUGAAACCAAUUUAUUUAUAUUUCAAAUCACUCCUUAUUGAUAUGUUUACUUAAGGUACUAUAGCCAAUAAAAAGGACACCAGAUUUUUAUAUAUGUUAAUACAACAAGCAGUCCUCGAGUUACGAAAGCUUGACUCACGAACACCCGUACUUACUAAUGGGAUCCCAAUAUAUUCAUCACAAACAUCUGUAUAUUUGAAAUUUUUACAUUACUUUAUAUUGCUUAACAUCACUUCAUUUACAGGUACAGGUAUGGUACCAUUUAUUCGGUGUCCCGGUAUCUGGAACACUCCAAAAAUUGACUAUGUUCUGGGAGGAGUGGGGGUAUUUUCAACCAUUCUCCAUCUGUGAGCUGUACAGUACUGUAUUAUGUUAUGGUUAUUAUUUUAAUCUUGUAAUUUUUGGCAGACAUUUAAUUUAUUUUUAUUUUUUACUCAAUUACAUACACACUCAAUAUUACAUUCAACUAAUAAUUUUGGCUUGAUGUGGUUUGUAAUUUUUUAUUUUUUACUCAGUUACAUGCACACAAAAUGAAAUCAAUUAAAUAAUUAUCAUAAGGUGUAAAGUUUUACUUAUCUAUGGGUUUCCACCAUGAAGCUGUGUGGUGAGUACAGUAUGUGGAGAGGUUGGAGGGUCUGUGGUCCAGAGCCCCGUUGCUAGGAACACCGCUAAGGCGAGCAGCAGGGGCAACUGUGACACAGUUUGUACAGUAACUUGCAUCAUUUUUGCUUUCAUUAUUGCUAUUUAUAUGCUUUUGUUAUUGAUGUUUAUGUCUACAAUUUUAAGUUUUAAUGUUACAGUGUACAGUUAAAGCUACUUUUAUGAGUGAAUAUAAUGUUCUGAACAGAGGCUUCACAGCCAGUUACAGAGGGUUUACUGUAUAUUUAUUGCCUGGUGCUCCAAAUUCUGGAAAACCCUUCCAGUAACCCCAAGUCCCAAGUACUAUGCCAGAUAAAUGGUCCCAUACCUGUAUUUACAUUAUUUGUUAUGUACGAGAUAUUACCGUAUUGUUGUUUUGUAUGGGCAUGGUUGUGUUUCAGCGUAACCUAACCUAUGGAAUUAACACUUCUGACUUUCAAACGGGGACCAGGAACGUAACUCGUUCGUAACUCGGGGACUGCCUCUAUACCAUAAAUAAGCACGUGGAUUAUGUAUGUGAAGUAAGUUCCUCAACAUGAUACAUGACAACAGGUAUCAGUAUCUGUCCUGAUUCAUAAGAGUUCUGAUUAUGCAAACAUAGAUAUUCAAUUUGUUUAAGUAAAAAAGCAUUGUGACCAUCAUAAUGAAGUGUAAGUCUUGGGAUGGGUUAUACUUUAUCUCCAGAGUCCUGCUCCUUGUGGUGUUAACUGAAGAGUUUACGUUUUUCGUUCACUUUUCUUACCGUACUUUAUUCUAGUCACUUUAAGGUUGAUUUUGUUAUAUUUGAUAAUACUGUAUUCUGGUUCUCUCCGGCCGACUACAGCAUAAGCAUUCCAAUAAGAAUUUUUUUAUGUUGGUGGCUAGUUAAUGAAUAUUUAAAAAAUGUAAUUUUUGUUUCCUCUCAACUCCCUUUGUUAUAUUGUAAAAUGGUAAAAACUAUUAUUUUGAUAAAUUGAUAUUUUACUUUAUUUGAGAUUGAGGUACUGGUGACAUAUAAUGAACUUUUAAUUUUUUAGGGGACUUGUUUAACUCAGUCAUAUUACAACAGUUGUUAAUUUAUUUUAUUUUUUUGAUUGAUAGUACCAGAGUUCUUUAGUGCUCUGAAUUUGUACAGAUAUUGAGAGCAAUAAAACUUGGAUCAAAAAGUUCAGUAUAUUGUCAUCUAACAGAGGUGAUAUUUUUUCAUGAAAACAUUAGUGUGAAACUACUGCACAAGAUAAUGUGUACUGAAGUUUUGUUGAAUAUAUUUAUAGGCCAUAAUAAAUAUUUUAAUGUA